GUCACUUUAACAAAAAAUAUUUGCCAACAAAUAUAACUCAACUUUGCUCUGAACAGUAGAGGUAGAAGGAUGAUUCUAACCCUUGCUUCUGCUCCUUGAUCUGCCUGUGCAAACGAAGACCCAAGCCAAAGCGUCCUUCUGCGGUCCAGGGGGCAGCCCUCCGACAUGGCUUGCCCUUUCUGCCCUGUGUGGUGGCACUCAAGUGUGGUUUCUUUACAGCAGUUUUUAAUUAAGUUUCCUUUAGUUUUAGUGACUGUAUGUGACUUCUUUCUCUCUCCAAUACGGAUCUCUCUGCAGGAAGGGCUAUAGCAUAUUUUUGAAAAACAUUGUCUUUCUUUAAUAAGUCCUUUGUGAUCUUUUUUCAGGCAUACAGCUAAGGGGACAUUAAAUCACACUCCAUUGAAGCUCAGUUUUUUGCAGAUGGAAAUGCUUCAGGGUCAUGUGAGCUGAGUAGUUGCUGGGUGCUGGGGACUGUUUCCAGAGCUGCACAGUUCCAGAACUUUUCACACAGCUGAGUAGAGAGAGAAAGCAGUUGCAAAAGAAUAUCCUCUUUGUGCAUCUGAUGGAGAGACAAGGCGUCAUCCCUCAUCACUUCUGUUUUAUCCAAGGCAAAAGCACUAACCCCUGUUGAAUGCAGGGAUCUUGUGUUCAGCAGCACAGCACUACAAGAGCAAUGAGCCUUGCUCACAGGAGGAAGAAACCUUACAGCAAGCAGUGUGAAGACUCACUGUGAGCAGGACUAACACCCUUUUCAUGGUAGCAGAGCACAUUUCACUCCACGGGAAAUGAAGAUACCAUAUCAUCAUGGAAGGACGUUCUGUGCUAAGUACCUCUCAAGAGGGGUUUCCUUGGACUUAACCUGAGCCACCUGAAAGUCAGGUGUCUAAUCUAAGCAGAUGUGAAAAGAGGCUGGGAUAAAUCACUGUCUGGAGGUGCCCAUUUCUCUCCAUUGACUUCAGGGACUGUCAUAAUGACUGCAAUGCCUUUCAGAUGGUUAAAAUUAAGUAAGUUGAAUCCCAGCCUAUUGCUUCAUCUUCUGUACAAAAGCACAAGGAUGUUGCUUUUUUUUUUCUUUCUCUCUACAGCUGCACCAAGAUUUUUUUGGUUGAUUUUCUCUUCUUUUUUUUUUUUUUUUUGUGCCAAGCAUGCCUUGGCUUUCCUUUAAAACUGUCAGUGCUCAGGGACGUUAGAUAAGAGGUGGAGAAUUGAAUAAAAGGAACAAAUUACAACAAAACAUGCCUCAGUGUGUUGAGACAGAAUAUGUUACAGCAGGCCAAUGAUAAGUAUAUGUCCCAUGUGGGGAAUCAGACAUGUCAGGAGAUGUGAUGGAUUAGAUCUCUAGUGGUCUGUUGAGAAGGUCAAUGGCUGGAGAAUAUGACACCACCUAUGUAAUUCUGAGAGAUGAGAAGGUGAAAGAGCACAACAGAAAAUGUUUUUAUAGGAUGAAAAAAACCCCUAACAACUAAGCAAAUAAUCUAUAUCUGUUAGCAUAAUUUACUCCUUCAAAUAUACAUGCCUAAUUGCUAUGUUAAAGGUGUAAGUUAUUUUUACUAUCUAUAAAUUUUAUUCUUUGAUGAAAUGCAGAUAUUAAUGGGCUAAUAUGGUCCUUUAUCUUGUGAAUUAUUGAGAAAUUAUAGACACUAGUCAAAUUUAAAAUGAAGCCGAUGAACGACUAUUUUCUUAUGAUUAUCUUGUUUUUAUGAAUAUUUUUUUUCUGACAUGAUCAAAUAUAAAUUCAAUAUUUUAAUAUAAUUUUUAGCAUCUCUCAGACGUUUUUACCAUUCUCCUUAUCCUGGAUAUAUGGUCCAUCAUACAUGUGCCCCUGAAUUUGAGAACAACUGAUCAAACCAGCCAGGUGCUAGUGGAAGUGCCCCAUAGAUUGUACUGGAUCAAUCCAGAGGAUCAGCUGGGAGGUAGUGGUCACUGAAGAGAGUGAUCUGGGCAAGAUGUUGCCUUGCCCACCCCUUCAUCAUGCUAUUGCAAAGUUAAUUCUACCAGUUUGUCACUUGGCUCCCUCUCAUCUCCUCAUCAUCCCACUGCUGUCUUUCCUUUUUAUAUCACAUCAAAUGUGAAGCACUUGACUUCACCUUGAAAGCCCUUAAAAGCUUCACCUUCCCUACAGAUCGUCUUUAAUUCACAGAAGGUGUCAGCUCUCAGCCCUGAUAGGUCACUGAUGCCAGCUUCGACAUUCACUUGUUAAAAUUUCAAACAGGCUCUUUCAUGUCCUCUCCCGUGCUGCCUCUGAGGAGCUUGCUGUAAACCUCCAUGAAGCUGCCUCAUUACUUUCCAUCAAACAUCUCUGAAAGCUCCCUCUUGCAAGGGUGCCAGUGACAAUCUCCAGAACAAUUAGGCUGCUGCCCUGCAGAUUCCGCUUUUAGCUCUACCUCCCACCCUGUGUCUCAUUGUUCCCUUCUCCUACCCAGACAGUUGCCUCUUCUCUCAUGGUGUUAGGCUUUUGGCCUUUUUUUUUUCUCCUGACUUUGUACAGUGCCCAGCAAAAUGAGGUCCUGAUCCAUGACUCUUGAGCUCUGUAGUAACAGUGACUUGUAAGAAUAGAAAUACAGCUAGCACUCGUGAGUUUGGUUAUUAAAGGCUUUACGGUAGAGAGCUUUGAUUAAGUACAGAAUUUGUCAAAUACAUGCAUUGUUUAGUAAAAUGUGCUUCUGUCCAAUUGAUUUCAAAUGGAGAUAGCAUAUAGUUGCUUUUAAGUGUAUAGUUAAGUAUUUGGCAGAAUCAGGUUGUAAACAAAUUGUAAUUCUCAUUCAACCAGCCAAGCUGUCUUUGCAUUAGUGUAUUCAGAUCUUUCAUUUGCAGCCUUGUUCUUUCAGUUACAUGCAGAUACUUCAAAGAAAAUGCCAUGGGCACCAAAGCAAUUAACUAUAGAGGAAGAAGGCAGAGCAGGCCUUGUUCUAGGGCCAGCGUUCAGGAAGAAGGCCAUCCACUGGAGGUUAAUUACAAAUAAUCUCUGUUUUUGUGUAGCUGCAUUUAUGCACAUGUGAAUACAAUUAAAAGAAAGUAGAAAAUGAUAUGUGGAAAUCAAAGGGAAGCUGGAGACCUGGAGAAUGCAAAGUCUGAAAAUUUUCUAGCACCUCUAAAUAUGCUCAUGCAGUCCAUCAUGUUGGACAACAAGAACACAUUCAUCUUCUAAUAGACCAAUGUGACCUCUGUAAUUUACUCCAUAUCCUGAAUGCUGGAGCACACUCCAGAGUGGAAGCAAGUGUGUUCUGUAAGCAGAGACUACUGCAAAGGAGAGUAUUAUUAUGCUGCUUUGAAUUUGUGGAAUAAAAUACCCUGAGAGCAAUAUACUAGGAGAACAGUGGAGGGUAUAUUCUACGGAGAUGUAAAAUGAGAGUUAUGGCACUCCAAAAAUUUCUGUCUUACUUGUGGUAUGCCAAAGUGAUGGUAUUUUGGAUUCUGUUGGGGCUUAGGGUGGCGAUUAUGCACUCUGCUCAUCUCAGGUUUGUAUUUUGGAUGCUGCAAAGUACAAAAACAAAAAAUGAAGUAGCGAAAGUUUAAAGAAAUCUAAAUGAACACUGUAGGAUGAGUGCAUGCUGAAGGGCUUACAUCUGGGCUGGAUUGAAAUCUUAUGUCUCUCUUGGCACAGCUGUAGUGAGCCAGGAUAUCAUCUGAGCUUGCGGGAUUGAUUCAUCUGCAUCUACUAGUGACUGUUUGCACAUCUGUCAAGCUUGCUCCUUUUGCCAAGUAACACAACUCCACACAGAGUCCAGGCUCCUGCUGCUCCAGCCCUGCCUUGCCGACUGCUCUGCCAUUCUCUGCUGAAUAUUCAGCCCCAGGGGAGCAGCGGGUCGACUCCGGUGUUCUCAGUGUCAUGUGGCAAAGUGCUGUGAGAGCAGUACGCAGAUCCCACCUCUUCAGAGUACUUUCCCCCUUUUUUUUAACCGUAAACAGCCUUUCUGCUUUGGUCAGAAAGACCUCAAGAAUAUAACAGAGAAUCAUCUGUCUUUUUUAAGGUAGCUCAUUAAACAUUAGCAAGAAUAUUCAUUUCUGCAUGUUUCUAGAGUAACUUCUUUAAAACAUUAUGUAAUCUCUACUCAGUUAUUUGGACUUUCUCUGUAAAGUUUGGAAGCAGCUGUGAGGAGUGUAGGUCUGUCUGUACCAUAGUAUCAUGAAACA